GGUGAACGCUGGCGGCGUGCUUAAGACAUGCAAGUCGAACGCAGUCUUCGGACUGAGUGGCGCACGGGUGAGUAACACGUAACUGACCUACCCCCAAGUCGCGGAUAACUGGCCGAAAGGUCAGCUAAUACGUGAUGUGAUGUCCCCUUUCUGGGGGGCCAUUAAAGGUUUACUGCUUGGGGAUGGGGUUGCGUUCUAUCAGCUAGUUGGCGGGGUAAAGGCCCACCAAGGCAACGACGGAUAGCCGGCCUGAGAGGGUGGCCGGCCACAGGGGCACUGAGACACGGGUCCCACUCCUACGGGGGGCAGCAGUUAGGAAUCUUCCACAAUGGGCGAAAGCCUGAUGGAGCGACGCCGCGUGAGGGAUGAAGGUUCUCGGAUCGUAAACCUCUGAAUCAGGGACGAAAGACGCGUAAGCGGGAUGACGGUACCUGAGUAAUAGCACCGGCUAACUCCGUGCCAGCAGCCGCCGUAA
rnacentral:rRNA from 1 species